rnacentral:rRNA from 1 species
UACAGAGGGGGCAAGCGUUGUUCGGAAUUACUGGGCGUAAAGGGCGCGUAGGCGGCCCGCUAAGUCGAACGUGAAAUCCCCGGGCUCAACCCGGGAACUGCGUCCGAUACUGGCAGGCUUGAAUCCGGGAGAGGGAUGCGGAAUUCCAGGUGUAGCGGUGAAAUGCGUAGAUAUCUGGAGGAACACCGGUGGCGAAGGCGGCAUCCUGGACCGGCAUUGACGCUGAGGCGCGAAAGCUAGGGGAGCAAACGGGG